AAAGAAGUAUUUCAAGUUUCAUCUCAGUACCUUUUAUAGUAUUCAAGACAUUGGUAAGGAAAAGCCUGACAGUGACCAGCACCAGACUUGAUGAUCUCUCCUUUUUCUGUGCAGAAUACACAGGCAGGUUCAACCAUUGUGUUGGGCCAUAUUCAGGACAUAUGCCCUAGCUUGAAGAUCCGUGGUGGCCACAAGUAGCAUAAUUCUGAAUGUGACAGUGUCUCCUAUGACUGUUCUGAAGGUAAAAAAACAAGUAGGUCAGUUUCAAAUGGCUGAAAAAACAUCAGCAUCUUUGAUUUACCCACUUCUUGCCAAAUCCCCCAAAGCAUCAUAUUCCUUUUUGUGGAAUCUCCCCUUUGGUGGAAACUCAUUGAUAAGGAGGUAUAUCAGCCAUAGUGAAACAGAAGAACUUUUGAACAACACCACUCCAUCGGUAAACAUUGAUAAGGUUAUGUUUGUAGAAUCAUGCAGAAAGUCUCCAGGUUCUUUCAGCUUCUGAUAAGCACUUCCUGCUUUAACGUCAGAUAACACUGAUGAUGGUUCUAGACUGUAGCUUUCUUUUAUCAUCUCCCAUGUUUCUGGUCUCUCCAAUAUCUCUCUUAGAGUUGUAGUCUGAUUUCACUUUUCACGAAGUACUUUUUACUGUCAGCUGUAUUUACACUAUGAUAACCAGGAGUCAGGCAGAUUUCAACAUCAUCAAUGAAAGUUUUCUUACAUAGUUCGCAGUACAUUUGGUAUUGGAGAUAGUCUUUGCUGAAUCCACAAAUAUUUUGUUAAAUUGAAGUUAAUCCGAUAUUUUCUGUCGAUAUAUAUGUGUAAUUGUAUCAACUGAAGGAUAUUACUUAUGGCAGCAUUGGACAAGUUGUGUCUUGUUGAUAAAGCACCUUGUGCAAGAGCGUGUUCAGAAGCUGUGAUUGGACUGCAGUAUACUUCUUCUUGUGAAGGAAUCACAUACAAAGGUGGGUCAUUAUCACUGCACAUUUUGUGUUCACAGUUUGAGUCAUUUGAUUCAUUUUCCCCUGAUAUACUCCUGUUGCUAGAACUCCCAUUUUCACUGCAUUCAUCUCCACUGUCGCCACACCUUUCAAUCUCUACUUGAUCUUCAAGUAAUUCUUGUCCACUUAUUCCAUUAUCAGUGCUCAGUUGUAGAGUAGUUUGUGUAUCAGAACUGUUUGUUGUAUGGUCAUUGGAAUCUUCGUAGACCUCAUUGAAAGAUAAAAGAAAACGUAUGUCUAUAAUAUAACAUGAUUGUGUAAGUUAUGAAUUAAGGUAGUAGAUGUGUAAUAGAGUACCUCCUUUUUGAAGAGUAUUCAAUUCCUACCAUAAACCCACAUUUACUGCAAUUCUCAGGGGGGCGUAGGUUCAAGCCCUACUGGGACCAAAUUUUUUUCCCCUUAUUUUCGAUUUUUUCUAGUAAGUUUUUACUUCUUUCAAGACUUAUGAUAGAUUUAUUGUACAAAAAUGAAAAAAAAAAAAACAUUUGCUAAGCGAUUUCUUGCUGUUCAAAGUGAAUUUACUACUUAAACAGAAGGGGUAGAGUUACACAUCUGUAAAAAUAUUGAGUUACAUGUGGUAAAAGUUCUCUAUUUUGCUUCCAUUCUUUAGAUUACAUAUUGUGGAAGAAAUUUAGGUAGGUUUUACAUCUGUCCCAAGGUAAUUUUUGAAUGAAGUAAGCAAAAUUCAAAACAGAAACAAGGAUUUGACCUUAUUUUUUCAACGUUGAAAUAAGAAUUCUGUAUCAUUAAAUCCGUUUACUUGAGGAACACUAUAUAAAAUGAUAUCCACAUUUUAAUUUUGUGUUUAAUAAUUGUUUAACAAUAGUUUGAUGAUUCUUUUAUUAAAAUUAAUGGUAAAAUGAGUUCUCUGCAAACAUUUUAUAUAGCGGCCAUCACUUUGAAAUUUUUCUCUACUUGAGCUAGAGGAGAUACCACAAGUUAUACAAAAUUUAGAAAAAACGGCAUGGUAAAAGUUGUUUAAAAAGUUGUUUGCAAUACAGUGCAAAACACGGUCAUCUUUAAGAAUAUACCAUGCAAAUGCCAUUUUGUAAACAUUGCUAUUACACCUCUACUACCUUAAAUUGUUUGGAAAUGUAUAUCAGAAUCUUCAAAUGUAUGGACACUGCAUGCUUCUAGAAACAUGCCACAUUUUUCACAAUUUCUACACAGUACUCUCUGUUAUAGAACUUAGAGCCUUCGGGUUUUGGACAAAGCUGCAUCUUAGAAAGGUCAAAGCGGAUUUUCACGCCAAAGCAGCUUUUUCUCUCUGCUGGCAUUACCUUUUUCAAAGCUGUGACCUUCAUUUCUAUAUUGGCACAGUAUUCACACAAACAGCCUUUGAAUGAAUUACUUUUUAGUUCACCAGAGCCAAAGGCUCAGGGUGAGCAAUUCUGAUCAGUUACCGUCCGGCUUCCGUUGUCCGUCGUCCGUAAACUUUUACUUUAAACGACAUUUCCUCAUAAACCGCUAGGCCAAUUUCAUCCAAACUUCACAGGAAUGUUCCUUGGGUGAAGCUCUACAAAAAUUGUUCAAAGAAUUUAAUUCCAUGCAGAACUCUGGUUGCCAUGGCAACAGAAAGGAAAAACUUUAAAAAUCUUCUUCUCAAAAACCAGAAGCCUAGAGCUUAGAUAUUUGGUGAGAAGCAUUGCCUAGUGGACCUCUACCAAGUUUGUUCAAAUCAUGACCCCGGGGUCAAAAUUGACCCCGCCCCAGGGGUCACUUGAUUUUACAUAGGAAAAUCUUAAAAAAUCUUCUUCUCAAAAACCAGAAGCCCUAGAGCUUAGAUAUUUGACAUGUAGCAUUUCCUAGAGGACCUCUACUAAAGUUGUUCAAAUCAUGACCCCGGGGUCAGGGGUCACUUGAUUUUACAUAGGAAAAUCUUCAAAAUUUUUCUAAAAAUAAACCAGAAGGCCUAGAGCUUAGAUAUUUGACAUGUAGCAUUGCCUAGUGGACCUCUACAAAAUUUGUUCAAAUCAUGACCCCCGGGGUCAAAAUUGACCCUGCCCCAGAGGUCACUUGAUUUUACAUAGGAAAAUCUUCAAAAAAUUUCUAAAAAUAAACCAAAGGCCUACAGCUUAGAUAUUUCACGUGUAGCAUUGCCUAGUGGACCUCUACAAAAUUUAUUCAAUCGUGACCCCUGGGGUCAAAAUUGACCCUGCCCCAUGGGGUCACUUGAUUUUACAUAGGAAAAUCUUCAAAAAAUCUCUAAAAAUAAACCAGAAGGCCUAGAUCUUAGAUAUUUGACAUGUAGCAUUGCCUAGUAGACUUCUACAAAAAAAUUUCAAACCAUGACCCAUGGGGUCAAAUUGACCCCACCCCAUGGGGUUACUUGAUUGUACAUAGAAAAAUCUUCAAAAUUUACUAAAAAUAAACCAGAAGGCCUAGAACUUAGAUAUUUGACAUGUAGCAUUGCCUAGUGGACCUCUACAAAAGUUGUUCAAAUCUUGACCCCCAGGGUCAAAUUGACUCAGCCCCAGGGGUUACUUGAUUGUAUAUAGGGAAAUCUUCAUAAAUUUGCUAAAAAUAAACCUAGAUCUUAGAUAUUUGAUAUGUUACAUUGCCUAGUAGACUUCUACAAACUUUGUUCCAUUCAUGACCCCCGGGGUAAACUUGGCCCCGCCCCAGGGGUUACUUGAUUGUACAUCAAAAAAUCUUCCAAAAAAUUUCUAAAAAUCAUCAGUUUGACAUUUGAAACAUGUAGCUCAUAUUACUCUGGUGAGCGAUCCAGGGUCAUCAUGACCCUCUUGUUAUUGUUAGGUGAGUUCUUGUGAUCGCUCGAUGUCCGGCGUCUGUCUGUCGUCUGUCAACAUUUAGCUUGUGUAUGUGAUAGAGGCUGUAUUAUUCAACUGAUCUUCAUGGAAUUUGGUUAGAAUGAUUACCUUGAUGAAAUCUAGGCCAAGUUCGAAAAUGGGUCAUCUGGGGUCAAAAACUAGGUCACUAGGUCAAAUCAAAGAAAAACCUUGUGUGUGUGAUAGAGGCUGUAUUUUUCAAUUGAUCUUCAUGAAUUUUGGUCAGAAUGAUUACCUUGAUGAAAUCUUGGCCAAAAUUGAAAAUCGGUCGUCUGGGGUCAAAAACUAGGUCACUAGAUCAAAUCAAAGAAAAACUUUGUGUAUGCGAUAGAGGCUGUAUUUUUCAACUGAUGCUCAUGAAAUUUUGUCAGAAUGAUUACCUUAAUAAAAUCUAGGCCAAGUUCGAAAAUGGUUCAUCUGGGUUCAAAAACUAGGUCACUAGGUAAAAUCAAAGAAAAACCUUGUGUAUGUGAUAGAGGCUGUAUUUUUCAAUUGAUCUUCAUGAAAUUUGGUCGGAAUGAUUGCCUUGAUGAAUUCUAGGUCAAGUUUGAAUAUGGGUCAUCUGAGAUCAAAAACUAGGUCACUAGGUCAAAUCAAAGAGAAACCUUGUGUAUGUGAUAGAGGCUGUAUUUUUCAAUUGGUCUUCAUGAAAUUUGGUCAGAAUGAUUGCCUUGAUGAAAUCUAGGUCAAGAUUGAAUAUGGUUCAUCUGGGAUCAAAAAGUAGGUCACCAGGUCAAAUCAAAGAAAAACCUUUAGUAUGCGAUAGAGGCUGUAUUUUUCUUUUGAUCUUCAUGAAAUUUUGUCAGAAUGAUUGCCUUGAUAAAAUCAAGGUCAGUUUCAAAUAUGGGUCAUCUUGGGUCAAAAACUAGGUCACUAGGUCAUAUCUAAGAAGAUACUUUUUUAAACUCAGGAGACCACAUUUUUAGUCCAAUCUUAAUGAAAAUUGACCAAAAUAUGUGUUUCCAUGAAAUCACUAGGUUAAACAUGUUUACACUGUUAUUGUAUAUUUCUCAGGUGAGCGACCUAGGGCCAUCUUGGCCCUCUUGUUGUACCCCCCGACAACAAAGUUGUAAGGGGGGGUAUACUGGUUUCAGGUUGUCUGUCUGUCAGUCUGUCCAUCCGUCUGUCCGUAGACACAAUCUUGUGCACUCCAUCUCUCCUCAUCCCCUUGACACAAUUUAAUGAAACUUCACACAAGUGAUCAGUAACAACAGUAGUUGUGCAUGGGGCAUGUUAGAUUCUUUCAGAAAAAAAAAUUGCAGAGUUACGGGACUUUGUUUUUUGUUACUAUACUAUAUACAUAGACACAAUCUUGUGCGCUCCAUCUCUCCUCAUCCCCUUGACACAAUUUAAUGAAACUUCACACAAGUGAUCAGUAACAACAGUAGUUGUGCAUGGGGCAUGUUAGGUUCUUUCAGAAAAAAAUUUUGCAGAGUUACGGGACAUUGUUUUUUGUUACUAUACUAUAUACAUAGACACAAUCUUGUGCGCACUAUCUCUUCUUAACCCAUUGACACAAUUUAAUGAAACUUCACACAAGUGAUCAGUAACAACAGUAGUUGUGCAUGGGGCAUGUUAGGUUCUUUCAACAACAAAAAUUGCAGAGUUAUGGGACUUUGUUUCUUGUUAACAUACUAUGUACAUACAGUCUGCAUAUGCAAUCUUGUGCGCGCCUAAUCUUCCGAACCCUUGCACAUAAUUUAAUGAAACUUCACACAAGUGAUCAGUACCAACCCUAGUUGUGCAUGUUACGUUCUUUUAGAUAAAUAUUCUGCAUAGUUAUGGGACUUUGUUUUUUGUUACUAUACUGUAUACAUACAGUCUGUAUACAUAUAGUCCACAUAAUUAUGCAAUCUUGUGUGUGUCAAAUUGCAAUGUACUGUGUCAGUGCAUGAGGUGGGUACAUUCAUCACCUUUAGUGAUAGCUCUAGUUUUUACUGACUUUGGUCGUAAGGCAACAGAUUUGCUGAAACUGAUCACAGAGUCUGGAUUUUGUAUCCUAAAGCUCAUGUAAGUACGCUGCAAGGUGUUUUCCAUUAUUCUCUUGGGUUCUAAGACUUUAGCACUGACAUGUUUCUUGUCUGGAAGACAGACAGAAAUGCCUGAUGACUUGAAGUGGUUUUCAACUUGAUGUACUGUCUUAUCAUCCAGAGCACUUUUUUAGUUUCUUUUGCUCAUCCCAAAUACCUUUUAUCUGUGAUGCUUUCACCAUAAAGCCCCAGCUUUUGGUCUCUGCACCUACUUGAAGUUAUCAUCUUAGUGAUAGCUCUUCAUCUUUUUAGUUGGUAAUUUGAUCUUUUCCAUUUUGUUUCUUGCAAAUCUGUACUAAGUCUUAGACUUUCAAAUAAUUUAAGAGGCCUCCUUUUAGAUGAUGUCAUACAUACCAUCCCUUCAUCUUCAAGAACUAUUCUUGGAAUUGCUGUUGACGUCAGACUUGACAAGACUUUGGCAAAUUUAGCUGGGGAGCCAAAAAAUUCAAAAACAUUUCAUUAUAAUGAUUAAAUUGUUCUCAUGCAGGGAAAAUUAAACCAAGCGAAUAUACACGAAAUCAUUUGAUGUUGCGCUUGUCAGAUAUUUUGGUGUCCACUUGCAAUGAAGUUAUCAAUUUUUUGGUGUCUGAUUGUAACAUCCGUAUAUGAAUAGGCAUACAUUAGAAAAAUAAUUUCAUUAAAAUGACUAAAUGCUAGUAUUUUAAGAUUACUCAAUUUGACCAGUCAACCGGUGACAAAAAUUAAAUGCAUACACAAGCAGAGUUCACAUUUUAAUUAUUUGAUGUUGCGUGUGUUAUACUUCUAAAAUUUUGGAGUCCACAAACGUAUCAAUUAUUUCGUGUCUGAAUGUAACAGCCAUACAUGAAAGUGCAGACAUUGUUGGAAAUAUUUCACUACAAUCACUGAAAUCUUCAUAUUUCGGGAUUAAUCAAUGUAACCACUCAACCGAUGACAAAAAGUAGAUACAAACACAAGAGUUCAAAGGAAAAGCUUGUUAACACUCUUGUUCAUUUGAUAUACAUGAAACUUGGUCAGAAUGUUUGUCUGCAUGAAAUAUCGAAUGAUUUUUUAUCUGGGUCAUGUGGGUUCAAAAAACUAGGUCACAGGUAAAAUCAAAGAAUAAGCUUGUUAACACCCUAGGGGCCACAUUUUUAUUCUGUCUUCAUAAAACUUGGUCAAAAUGUUUGUUAUCAUGAAGUCUUGGAUAAUAUAAAACAAGGAAAAGCUUGUAUACACUCUACAGGCCAGUUUUUUGCUCCAGUCUUCCUGAAACUUUGUCAGAAUGUUUGUUUUCAUGAAAUUUUGGACAAGUUCGAAUCUGGGUCAUGUGGGGUAAAAAACUAGGUCACUAGGUCAGAUAAAAGAAAAUGCUUGUUUACACUUGAGAGGCCACGAUUUUUGGUCCAAUCUUAAUGAAAAUUUGUCAGAAUAUUUGGUAAAACAUGUUUACAGUUAUGGUGUGUUACUCAGGUGAGCGACGUGUUCUGAAGUGAAAUUUGACCUUGAUUUUGACCUAGUGACCUACUUUCACAUUUCUCAAGCUGCAGCCUUCAAAUUUGGACCACUUGCAUAGUUUUGUGUACCGAAAUAAACUUUGACCUUAAGAUUGACCUAGUGACCUACUUUCAGAUUUCUCAAACUACAGCCUUCAAUUUUGAUGCACAUACAUAGUUUUGUGUACAAAGAACUUUGUCCUUGAAAUUGAUCUAGUGACCUACUUUCACAUUUCUCAUGCUACAGCUUUCGAAUUUGGACCACAUGUUAAUGCAUGCACAGUGUUGUGUACGGAAAUGAAAAUUUGACCUUGAGCUGGUCAAUAAGUCUUGAAAUUUGGAACCCUCAGAAAUGGCACAUUGGUGGGCACCAAGAUCACUCUGUGAUCUCUUGUUAUUUCAUUUUGUAAAGGGGGACAACAUUAUGAUAUGACAUUGUAUUGGACAGGUAGAUAGUUGGUAAAGAAGUAUAUUUCUGUGUUUGGUGAUAUGCUCCUAAACCUAAAUAAAGACAUCAUUUUAUAAUAGGAAAGUAUUGUUUGACCUGUAAUACUUUCAUUUUUAGCUCGACUAUUCGAAGAAUAGGGGAGCUAUCGUACUCGCCCCGGCGUCAGCGUGAGCAUCACACAAAUGUUAAAGUUUGCUUACCACCCCAAAUACUUUCAAAGUCCAUUGAGAUAUUGCUUUCAUAUUUUGCAUACUUGUUUACCAUCAUGACCCAAGUCUGUAAAAAGGAGGAGGCAACUCUAUCAAGCAUUUUGACUGAAUUAUGGCCCCUUUUCGACUUAGAAUAUGCUUAUUGUAAUGUUAAAGUUUUACUCAUUGCUUAUAUUAUACUAUCAAGCACUCAGAAUAGUCGAGCGGGCUGUCCACUGACAGCUCUUGUUUAAUAGCUCUUGUUUAAUACUUUCAUUUUCUUUGAACUACAUCCAAGCUUUAUUGAUGUCUUUCUUUAGAGUCCAAGUAUUGAAUCAGAGUGAAUUUUCAACUGCAUUAAUUAGUUUUAAUUAAUUAGUUAGUACUUUAGUUGAAAUAUUUCCUGUUGUUCAAGUAAGGUUUGGCAUACUUUUGUUAGAUGAUUGUGUAAAAGAAAAAUAAUAAAUAAGAACUGAAUGAAAUAAAGCAGAUAUUUAUCAUGUA